rnacentral:rRNA from 1 species
UACGGAGGGAGCUAGCGUUGUUCGGAUAUACUGGGCGUAAGGCGCACGUAGGCGGCGCCGUAAGUCAGGGGUGAAAUCCCGGAGCUCAACUCCGGAACUGCCUUUGAAACUGCAGUGCUAGAAUUCUGGAGAGGCGAGUGGAAUUCCGAGUGUAGAGGUGAAAUUCGUAGAUAUUCGGAAGAACACCAGUGGCGAAGGCGACUCGCUGGACAGACAUUGACGCUGAGGUGCGAAAGCGUGGGGAGCAAACAGG